UACGUAGGGGGCGAGCGUUGUCCGGAUUUAUUGGGCGUAAAGAGCUCGUAGGCGGUUCGGUAAGUCAGAUGUAAAAACUCCAGGCUCAACUUGGAGAGGCCAUCUGAUACUGCCGUGACUAGAGUCCGGUAGAGGAGCACGGAAUUCCUGGUGUAGCGGUGAAAUGCGCAGAUAUCAGGAGGAACACCGAUGGCGAAGGCAGGUCUCUGGGCAUUAACUGACGCUGAGGAGCGAAAGCAUGGGGAGCGAACAGG
rnacentral:rRNA from 1 species